rnacentral:rRNA from 1 species
AGUUAGACGUUCAGAGUUUUGAUCCUGGCUCAGGAUUUAACGCUGGCGGCAUGCCUAAUACAUGCAAAUCGAACGAAGCCUUUUGGCUUAGUGGUGAACGGUGAGUAACACGUAUCCAAUCUACCCUUAAGUUUGGGAUAACUAGUCGAAAGAUUAGCUAAUACCGGAUAAUAACAUUCACUUGCAUGAGUGAAUGUGGAAAGUUGCGUUUGCAACGCUUUUGGAUGAGGGUGCGACGUAUCAGAUAGUUGGUGAGGUAACGGCUCACCAAGUCAUUGACGCGUAGCUGUACUGAGAGGUAGAACAGCCACAAUGGGACUGAGACACGGCCCAU